CAAUAGCGUAUAUUAACGUUGUUGCAGUUAAAAAGCUCGUAGUUGGAUUUCUGGAGGGAGCGUCGGCCCGUAUUUACGAGUGCGUGACGUCUCUGUCCAUCCUUGCGGGAAGGCACGGCAUUGAUUUGUUGUGUCGGAUCGCAUCAUUUACUGUGAAAAAAUUACAGUGUUCAAAGCAGGCUUUCGCUUGAAUACAUUAGCAUGGAAUAAUAAGAUAGGACUUUGGUGCUAUUUUGUUGGUUGAGCCUAAAGUAAUGAUUAAUAGGGAUAGUUGGGGGCACCUGUAUUGCGUUGUCAGAGGUGAAAUUCUUGGAUUUACGCAAGACAAACAGCUGCGAAAGCGUCUGCCAAGGAUGUUUUCAUUAA
rnacentral:rRNA from 1 species